GGAUGCUGAGGAGUCCCAUACCAGGACGAAACGGCCGUCCAGUGC
rnacentral:hammerhead_ribozyme from 1 species